CGGGACGGGUGAGUAAUGUCUGGGAAACUGCCUGAUGGAGGGGGACAACUACUGGAAACGGUAGCUAAUACCGCAUAACGUUGCAAGAUCAAAGAGGGGGACCUUAGGGCCUCUUGCCAUCGGAUGUGCCCAGAUGGGAUUAGCUAGUAGGUGGGGUAACGGCUCACCUAGGCGACGAUCCCUAGCUGGUCUGAGAGGAUGACCAGCCACACUGGAACUGAGACACGGUCCAG
rnacentral:rRNA from 1 species